rnacentral:rRNA from 1 species
UACGUAGGGUGCGAGCGUUGUCCGGAAUCAUUGGGCGUAAAGAGCAUGUAGGUGGAUCUAUUAGUCUGCUGUGAAAGUCAAAGGCUCAACCUUUGAAAGCCGGUGGAAACUGUUGAUCUAGAGUACGGAAGAGGCGAGUGGAAUUCCUGGUGUAGCGGUGGAAUGCGCAGAUAUCAGGAGGAACACCAAUAGCGAAGGCACCUCGCUGGGACGUAACUGACACUGAGAUGCGAAAGCGUGGGGAGCAAACAGG